rnacentral:lncRNA from 1 species
UGCCAACAGAAAAAUUACCAUUACCAUCUCUAGGAAAUGAUUGCCCAUGUUCCAACCUUUCAUACUUGAAGUCUAAGUGGCAUAAACCACCAUCAUCAACACAAUAUUGCCUUGAAAGUUCUACAACAGCUCUGGCAGCUAGGCUUGCAUGUUCUGCAAACUCAGCCGCUGCUUGAGCAGCAGAGGUAGCAUCCUUAAAUUUCAUGUUAUAAUUCUCCCUGCCAAUAGAAAAAUUACCAUCUCCAGGAAAUGAUUGCCCAUAUUCCAGCCUUUCAUCCUUGAAACCUAAGUGGCAUGAACCACCAUAAUCAACACAAUAAUGCCUUGAAAGUUCUACAACAGCUCUGGCUGCUAGGCUUGCAUGUCCUCUAAAUUCAGCCGCUGCUUGAGCAACAGAGGUAGCAUCCUUAAAUUUCAUGUUCCAAUACUGCCUGCCAAUAGAAAAAUUUCCAUUACCAUUUCCAGGGAAUGAUUGACAAUGUUCCAGCCUUUCAUCCU